UACGGAAGGCAGCAGGGGGAAUAUUGCACAAUGGGCGCAAGCCUGAUGCAGCCAUGCCGCGUGUAUGAAAAAGGCCUUCGGGUUGUAAAGUACUUUCAGUCGUGAGGAAGGUGUUAAGGUUAAUAACCUUAGCAAUUGACGUUAGCGACAGAAGAAGCACCGGCUAACUCCGUGCCAGCAGCCGCGGUAAUACGGAGGGUGCGAGCGUUAAUCGGAAUUACUGGGCGUAAAGGGCACGCAGGCGGUUAAUUAAGUUGGAUGUGAAAUCCCCGGGCUUAACCUGGGAAUGGCAUUCAAGACUGGUUAGCUAGAGUCUUGUAGAGGGGGGUAGAAUUCCAUGUGUAGCGGUGAAAUGCGUAGAGAUGUGGAGGAAUACCGGUGGCGAAGGCGGCCCCUGGACAAAGACUGACGCUCAUGUGCGAAAGCGUGGGGAGCAAACGAGGAUUAGAUACCCGU
rnacentral:rRNA from 1 species